rnacentral:rRNA from 1 species
UACGUAGGGCGCAAGUGUUGUCCGGAAUUAUUGGGCGUAAAGAGCUCGUAGGCGGUUUGUCGCGUCUGCUGUGAAAACCUAAGGCUCAACCUUGGGCUUGCAGUGGGUACGGGCAGACUAGAGUGCGGUAGGGGUGACUGGAAUUCCUGGUGUAGCGGUGGAAUGCGCAGAUAUCAGGAGGAACACCGAUGGCGAAGGCAGGUCACUGGGCCGCAACUGACGCUGAGGAGCGAAAGCAUGGGGAGCGAACAGG